rnacentral:ncRNA from 1 species
AUGAUCCGGGAGAGACCCACAGGGCGCCGAAGGGGAAAUCGCAAGAAACUCUCAGGCAAAAGGACCGGAU